AUUGCAGAAAAUGAAAUCUGUGACAAAGAAGAGUUUAUGAUACUGUUGUUCAGCAAGACAAUAUUCACUAAUGAACACCACGUUAUGCUUUUUAAGCCUAAAUACAACCUCCAGGAACCAAUGGUCUCUCCAACAGCCCUCCCUAAAGAGGUGCUCCUGUGGAAACUGUGGAACCAUGUCCACAGAAGCUGAGAAUAUCUGCUGCUAUGAGAUACCACAGGUUACCAGACGGCUAUGGGAGAUCGAGGAAGAUUUACCAUGUAUGGUAGACCGUCCUGGGUUGGAGCCGCUCUGCCUCAAUGUGUACUCCCUCCAGAAUGCCUGAAACAUGAACCGCACUGUUACGGCCGCGGCCGUAUUCGGGGAACCUUUGUCUGUCCCUGUGUAUAUUUGUGUGUGUGGUUGUGUUGUGUCUCGUUCGCCUAUUGUUGCAGACUGACCCUGCGAGAGGGGAUGCCCGUGACGUCACCGGGAUUUCCUGGGAGUGUUCCGCCUUUUUCCAUGCACCUUCGAUGCUCCAGCUGCAAGCCAUCUCCCUUGAUGAGCUGGUCCCGCCCCUCGUCUCCGCCCCUCGUCUCCACCCCGAGUAUAAAACCACUGUCAGUCUGCGCUUGUGUGACUGUGAUAAUUAAUGUGAGCCGAGUGAACAAUGUGAAGAGCUAAGGUUGUGUGGUUUUUGGUUUGUUAGCGUAAAGUCAAGUGCAGCUUUGUUUGAGAUCUGGUGUUUUGAUGUUUUGUUUUUCUUUUGUUAGCUGCUCGUGUUUUUUUUGUGUUAACUGCAUUAUUGGCUGGCUUUGUUUUCUUGUGCCGCCUCUCUUUUUG